CAUUUAUUAGAUAAAAGCCAAUGCAUGCUUUUACAGUAUGGAAAUUGGUGAUUUAUAAUAACUUGGCAAAUCGCAAAGUGAAAACAGGCGAUAAAUCAUUCAAGUUUCUGACCUAUCAGCUUUCGACGGUAUGGUAUUGGCUUACCGUGGCAGUGACGGUUAACGGGGGAUUAGGGUUCGAUUCCGGAGAGGGAGCCUGAGAAACGGCUACCACAUCUAAGGAAGGCAGCAGGCGCGCAAAUUACCCAAUUCUAACAGUUUGAGAGAGGUAGUAACAAGAAAUAACAAUACAAGGCAAUUAAAAUGCUUUGUAAUUGGAAUGAUAGAAAUUUAAACCCUUUUUAAAGUAUCAAUUGGAGGGCAAGUCUGGUGCCAGCAGCCGCGGUAAUUCCAGCUCCAAUAGCGUAUAUUAAAAUUGUUGCAGUUAAAAAGCUCGUAGUUGAAGUUCUGCUAAAAGUAACCGGUCUGCUUUUAAUAAAAGUGGUAUCUUGGUGUGUAUUUAGCAAUGAUGUCCUUUGAAGUGUUUUUUACUUUAUUGUAAUAAAGCAUAUUCAGGACUUUUACUUUGAGAAAAUUAGAGUGUUUCUAGCAGGCCGACGCUUUGAAUACUGCAG
rnacentral:rRNA from 1 species